rnacentral:lncRNA from 1 species
CACCGUAGCAAAGGGGGCAUUAAGUUGUACCCUUGUCCGUAAGUACGUCCGUUCCAGAGUUAUACCCUUAUACAAAUGGAAAAAAAAUGCUGACUUUUUUGUUUCCGUUCUCUAACUUAAGUUUGCCACAACCAAAUGUUUUGAAACUUAUACACAAUGCUUAUUUCCAUAAAAUUCAGAACAGUUAGAAUGUUAUUGGUGUAACAUGUACUGUCAAUAAGUUAUGCCCC